CGGAGACAGACCACGAUUACGUUAGAAAGCCAGUUAGUGUGCUCGAACCGGACCUCGACCCGGCAUCCACGGUGCUCGAUCACGUGCUUUUCUGGUAACCCUGUGGUAGAUGGGAAGCAUUAGUGACGACAGGAAGCAGGACCCCAGAGCCACAACUCUCGUAUAGACCACUCAGACGAAAGCAACGUGUUUGAAAUAUUUAUGGGUGUCCAAAUGCCCUUGCCGGCAUCUAGGUCCAGUAAGCAGCACAAUACACUAUUAGUGGAGAAUCCGGAGGGUGACGCAAUAGCCACUUACUAUGCAACUCCAGCCAAAUACCGCUGCGCUGUUCUCGCUCCUCUUGCGGGCUCAGUUUUGGAUCCACAGGGUCCCUGAGACUGAAAGAGCUUGAAGUCUUGCUAUCGUACUGGGGUCGCUGACGCUCUGUGUACUCAUCCAUAGCGACCUCGUCCUCAACGUCUGCGGGCAAGGAAGUGGGCAUGUCAUACGAUUUGUCACGAAAUGUCACGCUAUGGGCAAUUUACGUCCGACACUACGGCACUCAUACACUAUCAAAUGUGAUUUGUCACGCCCGUCACCCUCUCUCGCGCUUCGUGUAACGAAAUAUGUAAUGAUACAGUGUGACAGCGUACAAUGCACCCCAAACACGUCACCCUCUUUCGCGUAUCGUGUAACGAAAUACGUAAUAUUAUGUCACAUCAUUGUACGCUGUCACACAAGGUGUCACGGCACGUCACGCUCUCUCUCGUGUCACGCCAUACCUGCCGCGACUCGGUGCAGUACGUCUUCCACCUUCACGUCCAACGUGAUGUUAUUCAGGAGAUGCUUCAUAUAAAUGCCGUUACUGUCACUCUUUCGCUCGUAUGCAUCGCUCCCUUUACAGCUAGAAGGGCGAGAAAGUCCCGAGUCAAUAUCGAACAAACCCGAGGCAUAAUCCGAGCCAACCACCUCUACUAUAAUCCGAUCACGAUCCACCGCCGAACUAAUCCGAGCCACCACUGAACUGAUCCGAGUCCCCGCCGAACUAGCCCGAGCCACCACCGACCAAACUAAUCCGAGCUAACAUCGAACUAGCCCCAGCCACCACCGAACUAAUCCGAGCCAACUUCGAACUAAUCUAAACUAACAUCGAACUAAUCCAAACUAACAUCGAACUAAUCCGAGCCAGCAUCCAACUAAUCUGAGCCAACAUCGAAUUUAUCUAAACCGACAUCGAGCUAAUCCGAGCCAGCAUUGAACUAAUCCGAGACACCAUCGAACAAACCCGAGUGACCACCGAACUAAUCCGAGCCGGCAUCGAACUAAUCCGAGACACCACCGAACUAAUCCGAGCUUCCACAAAACUAAUCCGAGCCACCAUCAGAGUCGUCUAAGCAGAAAUCAAUGUGUAAAAAAACAUGUAGUGACAGAUUGACUCACGUGGCGUAUCCAGUGACGAGCUGGGCGUCAAAUGGAAAGGAGUAGGUUUCCAUCUUGUAGGCCUGACUCGUCACGGCUCUGGAGGACACGUAUAAGAUGCGCGCAGAAAUUUUGAUGUCAUGUCAACAUAACAUGUCUAUUCGUUCAAUUCGGACAAGGCUACCUCGGUGGUGGGUAACCGUGACUUAUACAUAUUGAAUUGACGUCCCUUCUAAAGGGGAACGGGAGAUUAGUAUACCCAUGAAACCACGCCCUCAUACCCCCGAAAUAAAAAGGCAUAGUAUUUGUGUAACACAAACGCAAAUCAACAUCGCUAGACACGAUCAAGAGCGCUUAUCAUGUGACUGACUUUACCCGUCAGUUUGUAGAUACGGACUGCUCCACGCAUUUAACAACCAUCAGUGUGGGUUUGUGUGCAAGCACUGUCACUGAAGAUGGUACCACGGGCCAGCGUCCCCAGCGGUUUUUUUACGCCUCUUAACACAGGUUAAUAAUGUGCAGUGAGAGACGGGACCCCCGGCUUAACGUUCUUAUCCGAGGGGACGACCGGAACUCACAGUCUGAAAAAAUCCCAAGUUGACCAGAUCUGGGAUUGAACCCUGGCCCUCUUGCUGGAAAGACAAAGAUCGUACAACUGAGCUCAUACCGCCACCAACCUCUUCCUGCAGAUGUCCAGAAGGAAGAUGUUCAGUUGAGUGCCGCGCGCAUGCAUCAUCUCGAACACCUUCUGUACACAGACCGCCUCGUCAGGGGCCCAGUCCCUCUCGGCGUCUAUAGGAACCAUGUAGUUCUGGCCCUGUUCCUCGAAGCCAUGGCCGGCGAAGUAUAGCAAGCCGUAAACAUUUUCACCGAGGAGGUCGAGGAAUAAAUUGAUAGCCUUGUCCAUCUCUACUCGGGUUAAGUUAACCUGGCGAGGAUAAUCAAGAGCCAUCGUCUUUAUUAUCAUCACCAUCAAUAUCAUUAACAUCACUAUCAUCACCAUAAUCAAUAUCAUCACCACCACCGUUUUGCCCGAGUGACAUCUUUUUUUCCGUGUACUGUUUUAUUUUUAUUUUUUUUACUCUUCAAUUUUAGAAAAAUAAAAUUGCCUGAUACUCGAGCUAUGUCAUGGUCCUCACCAUCAUCCUCACUGUUAUCAUCAUCAUUUUGUCAUUAUCAUCGUCGCUGUCAUAGUCCUGGCUACGGACCUGAUUGGUCACUGUCAUUCAGGCUUGUACACAGGGCGUUGCACAGGGUGUGGGCCACAAGGAAUCUUCAAAUAUUAGGCUUUUUUCAUAUGAUACCUAUGACUGCACCCCCCCCCCAGCUAAUCCUGGGUACGUGCCUGGUCACCUCUUUUUUGCAAAGGGGAGAACCCAUUUAGCAGCAUUCAAGACAAGGUCAACCCACCAUUGACACAACUUUAAAGUUCAUGGAAUUCUUCCUGAGGACAGAAGCCAGUCUUUGAGCAUCACUACACGAAUGGACCAAUGGAGAGCCAUCCUCAGGUAGAUUGAUGUAGUCACGGUUACCGAUCACCAAGGCAACUUUGUCUGCAGCUGCAAUCAAAACGCCAAUCAUUAAGUUUGUCUCUAAGCAGAGACGCAAAGUGCAAAUGCAAUCCUAACACAAGAAAGAGCUAGUCAAACCUGAUUAAGCAUAAAAAUAAAUUAGUUUGGUUUAUUUGGCCUUGCGAA